rnacentral:rRNA from 1 species
GACGAACGCUGGCGGCGUGCUUAACACAUGCAAGUCGAACGGAAAGGCCCUGCUUUUGUGGGGUGCUCGAGUGGCGAACGGGUGAGUAACACGUGAGUAACCUGCCCUUGACUUUGGGAUAACUUCAGGAAACUGGGGCUAAUACCGGAUAGGAGCUCCUGCUGCAUGGUGGGGGUUGGAAAGUUUCGGCGGUUGGGGAUGGACUCGCGGCUUAUCAGCUUGUUGGUGGGGUAGUGGCUUACCAAGGCUUUGACGGGUAGCCGGCCUGAGAGGGUGACCGGCCACAUUGGGACUGAGAUACGGCCCAGACUCCUACGGGAGGCAGCAGUGGGGAAUAUUGCACAAUGGGCGGAAGCUUGAUGCAGCGACGCCGCGUGCGGGAUGACGGCCUUCGGGUUGUAAACCGCUUUCGCCUGUGACGAAGCGUGAGUGACGGUAAUGGGUAAAGAAGCACCGGCUAACUACGUG